UUGAGCAGAUCCCUUACAUUAGAAAUUGGAUUCCAAGGGACCUUGCACCAGGCGCACACCUUAUGUCUCACCACUGUAGCAACAUACCAAAAGAUGGUCCGCGUCUUCCUCCGCUUCACCGCAAAAUCUGCAUAACGUCAAGCCACAAUGAACAUUACGUCUUUGCAAACCUUUAAGUGUCGCCAAUCGGUUUUGUUCAGCCCGCCAUGCAAAUAUGUUGACUUUCUUCGGGGCCCAUUUAACCCAAUCGAAGGGGGCAAACGAAACCGAAAACCUGCACAUCAAAUCUCUGCACGACGAAACCGAGAACAUACCAUCUGAAGCCCUUUCCCACACCCAGCGGUCCUUAUUAUUUGUAAGUAAAACAGAUACCAAAACAGUGUUGAGCUGGCCAAACUGAUCCACUUCCACAACAGUCAAAGGCGCCCGCUUCCAAUCCCAAUGAGACUUUCUCACAGUUGACUUUUGUUAUCUUUUCUUUUUGGUGCCACUGGUGUCAUAAAUGAUGUAGGCUAGAAAAUGUCAGAUGUUGCUACAUUUGACUUCCCACAGUUGACUUUUGACUUUUUUUUUGUCAAUCGUAAAGUUUCGCCAUCAGUUGAAG
rnacentral:lncRNA from 1 species